rnacentral:rRNA from 1 species
AGUGAACGCUGGCGGCGUGCCUAACACAUGCAAGUCGAACGAGAACGGGUUAUAGCUUGCUAUAACUGUCAGCUAAGUGGCGCACGGGUGAGUAAUAUAUAGGUAAUGUGCCCCAAAGAAGAGGAUAACAUUUGGAAACGAAUGCUAAAACUCUAUAUGCCUUUAAGUCAUAAGACUGCAAGGGAAAUAUUUAUAGCUUUGGGAUCGGCCUGUACAGUAUCAGAUAGUUGGUGAGGUAAUGGCUCACCAAGUCAAUGACGCUUAACUGGUUUGAGAGGAUGAUCAGUCACACUGGAACUGAGACACGGUCCAGACUCCUACGGGAGGCAGCAGUGGGGAAUAUUGCACAAUGGAGGAAACUCUGAUGCAGCAACGCCGCGUGGAGGAUGACACAUUUCGGUGCGUAAACUCCUUUUAUAUAGGAAGAUAAUGACGGUACUAUAUGAAUAAGCACCGGCUAACUCCG